UACGUAGGGUGCAAGCGUUGUCCGGAAUCAUUGGGCGUAAAGAGCGUGUAGGCGGCCCGAUAAGUCCGCUGUGAAAGUCCAGGGCUCAACCCUGGAAUGCCGGUGGAUACUGUCGGGCUAGAGUCCGGAAGGGGCGAGUGGAAUUCCUGGUGUAGCGGUGAAAUGCGUAGAUAUCGAGAGGAACACCUGCGGCGAAGGCGGGUAGCUGGGCCGACACUGACGCUGAGGCGCGAAAGCGUGGGGAGCAAACAGG
rnacentral:rRNA from 1 species